rnacentral:tRNA from 1 species
CCUCUCGUAGUUCAACGGAUAGAACAAUCCCGUCCUAAGGGAUAAAUGUAAGUUCAAUUCUUACCGAGAGGA